AAGUAGGAGACGACAGGAUGACAGAUUAUCCCUUGGGGCACCCAUAAACUGAGAGGGCUAAAAAAAAUUAAAAUAAAAAAAAAAAAAAAAAAUAAAUAAUAAAUAAAAAUGCCUCACCCUAUAUCCCUGAUGGGGAAGGAAAUGGAUUAGGGCUUUGGAGGAGGAGAACGUGGGACGAUUAUUGGCCAUGAAAGAUUUGAAGGCACCAUUGGUAAAAGUGGUGGGAACCACUAAGUGUCAGAUAAAGAUGAUGUAAAUUGUUACAACCGGGCCGACAAAAGACUACAAACAUGGCCGCCGCUCACAAACUUACCGGCUACAGCGCCAUCUUCUGGUUGGAUGCCGUCAUGACCGAGGGUAUGCAGGCCCCUCAGCAAAUGUUACCCACUUAAGGUGAACCCCAAGGAACAAAGGGGAAUGAGAAGGUGGAGAGUUGAAAAUGAACAAGAAAAAGAAGGCAUGUGGACAUUAUAUUAUGAACUAUUGUGGUGGAAGUCAUUCUUCUUAAAGUCAAGCAGAAUUGAAGGAGGUGGUGGGAUUGUCAUUUAUUUCCAACCCCCGAUUCAGCAAACAGUUGGUCUCUGCGGUCAAUGUCAAUGAACAAAGCCCCUGGUUGAAAAGACUGAAAUAAGUGAUGAACUGACACAAAAUUAAAAACCAAGGAGCUGUUGGCACAGAGUCCCCAUCUCGACUUGCCAAUCCAUUCUGUGAAAGCAGAGAACUGGGAUCUUGUAAAAUCAUGGAAGGAAGAAAAGCUGCAACCAAAGUGGACUGGACCCUACCUUGUGUUAUUAAUCACCGAGACAGCAGUACGAACAAAAGAAAAAGGGUGGACACACGCAAACCGAUUUAAGGGUCCUGUGGAGGCCCCACCGGACAAUAUCAGCCCGUAGACUGUGCGUGAAGGGAAGGAACCAUUGACUUUGUGCCUAUUCGGAUGUUGUAUUAUUCCCUGCGCUGGCCUUCAGAACACAGUAUGACUAGCGAGAGGAGGAUAGGGAGGCGAAGAAUCUGCUGCUAGCACUAGAAAAGGAAGAUAUAGUAUAAUUCAAAAGAUGCGUAGCAAAAAGAAAAA